GUGAACGCUGGCGGUAGGCCUCACACCUGCAAGUCGAACGGCAGCACAGUAAGAGCUUGCUCUUACGGGUGGCGAGUGGCGGACGGGUGAGGAAUACAUCGGAAUCUACUUUUUCGUGGGGGAUAACGUAGGGAAACUUACGCUAAUACCGCAUACGACCUACGGGUGAAAGCAGGGGAUCUUCGGACCUUGCGCGAUUGAAUGAGCCGAUGUCGGAUUAGCUAGUUGGCGGGGUAAAGGCCCACCAAGGCGACGAUCCGUAGCUGGUCUGAGAGGAUGAUCAGCCACACUGGAACUGAGACACGGUCCAGACUCUUACGGGAGGCAGCAGUGGGGAAUAUUGGACAAUGGGCGCAAGCCUGAUCCAGCCAUACCGCGUGGGUGAAGAAGGCCUUCGGGUUGUAAAGCCCUUUUGUUGGGAAAGAAAAGCAGCAGGUUAAUACCCCGCUGUUCUGACGGUACCCAAAGAAUAAGCACCGGCUAACUUCGUG
rnacentral:rRNA from 1 species